GUGGUCCAUUUUAUUAUAAGAAUCAAAAUACAUUUUGACUUUUCCUGCUAUUGGCUUGGGCACCUGCAGACCUCACAUAGCAUUGCAUUUUAAGCGUAUAUUUACAAUCUUCAAAGUGUAGUUAAAUAUUAUGAUGCAUAAUAGAGUAGUUUCUAAGUUAUGAUAUUUUUCUCAUCGAGUGUUGAAAUGUCAGUUUGUCUUUCUUCUUGAUGUCGUUUAUUUACUCCCUGGUUGUUCUUUCUUUUCUUUUGUGGGUGUAGAACAUCUGCAAUUGUGUAGCGUUAUUUAUGAGGUUAUUUGUUCUACAUUACUGAUUGUCUUCGCUAAUUUGAAGACUACUUUCUUAGGCGUAAACUGCUUAUGGGAAUUUAUGAAAAGGAUUUGAGGGUUCGACUUGGAGAUGUUGUAUCCGUGCACCAGUGUCCAGAUGUCAAGUAUGGGAAACGUGUCCACAAACUUCCUAUAGAUGAUACAAUAAAAGGUCUAUCCACUCUCUCCUGUUGUUUGAAGAAAUUAGGUACUUAAGAAAGAGGGUCAAAUACAAGAAGGAGCUAGGAGUGUUGUGAUAGCUGAGAUUACCCAAGUUCAUUAAUGCGCAUUUUCGAUGCCAAGAGAAUUUGGAAUAAUGGAAACAGGUUGCACAUGGGAAAUAAUCAGGAAAAAGUACAUUUUACAGCCAUGGUGUUGUCAUCUCCACUUCGCCCCGUGCUACACAUACCUUAACCUUAACUUCAAAUGGUCACUGUGGAUUUUGUAGAAUCCGGACACAGUAGCUGGUUUGAUGGAAAUCCAGUUUAUUUUCAGCUUGAAAGAAUAAGGCCAUCGAAGAAAAUGAAGAUUUUUCAUUAUGGUUGACCAUCUACAGUAUGUCAAUGAUUUCUUCUUUUAUCUAACCAACAAUAAUUUUUGUCUAGCUUAGUAUGAUAAUGUUCAAGCUCACUUUAUUCAUGUUCGUCUAUACAAUUGUUGUGCCCAUAUAUUGAAAAGUCUUUUGUGCAAAGUGAAAAUGCAUUUAUAAAUUGCCUUCUUAAAGUUUUAUUUUCACUUCUACUAUGAGGAGCAUAAACUCCAGUGAAAUACCAGGAGAAGGAAUUUUAUUACCAUUCCAUACUCUACUGUCCCACAUGAGAAUAAUUCCCCCUUUGCUGCCACCAGCUUUAGUGUACCAGAAUUUCAUCCAUCUGCUAGGCCAGAGUUAAUGGCAUGGACUACGUACGCUGUAUCCUCCCCAGACCCUGCUUGGUGGGAAUGCACUAGAAAAAUGGAUAAUAAAGAAGCUUCAAAAGCUGUUGAUGCUCUUACUUCGAUGCCUUCAUCAUCUGACCUUACCGAUUUUUGCAUCAGAGAAGAUGGAUAAUGCAGAGGCUAUAAAAGCUACUGAUGCGUUCUCAUUGACUACAUGCUCGGAAAGCGAAGCCCUUCCUUCCAAUCGAAUAUUCUAAAGAUAGUAAGUGUGACCUGUGUGGUUCAAUAAUGUAAUUUCUAUUUAGGAUGCUAACUUUUAUGGCUAAUUUUGCAUGACCAUGUGACGUCUGUUAAGUACCUGCAUAGCUAUGUUGCUCAAGAAAGCCGAUGAAGAUGUUGCAAUAAUAUCUGCAGAAACACCAGUUGUAUUGUAUUUGCUCAUAUAUUUCAUCCAUACCUACCGCAAUUUUCUCAAUGUAACUGAAACAUGUCAUAACUAAACGAUCAUGCUGAUAACAAAUGGCAUAAUUUUAGUGCUAUUUUGAAAUGCACCUCAUCAUCAAAAGCAGAUUCUUCACUA